CACGUAGGGGGCGAGCGUUGUCCGGAAUCAUUGGGCGUAAAGAGCUCGUAGGCGGCUCAGUAAGUCGGGUGUGAAACCCUCAGGCUCAACCUGGGGACGCCACUCGAUACUGCUGUGGCUAGAGUCCAGUAGAGGAGUGUGGAAUUCCCGGUGUAGCGGUGAAAUGCGCAGAUAUCGGGAGGAACACCAACGGCGAAGGCAGCACUCUGGGCUGGAACUGACGCUGAGGAGCGAAAGCGUGGGUAGCAAACAGG
rnacentral:rRNA from 1 species